rnacentral:rRNA from 1 species
AUUGAACGCUGGCGGCAUGCCUUACACAUGCAAGUCGAACGCGAAAGGGGGGCAACCCCCGAGUAGAGUGGCGGACGGGUGAGUAAUACAUCGGAACGUACCCAGUAGUGGGGGACAACCUCGAGAAAUCGAGGCUAAUACCGCAUACGACCCACGGGUGAAAGCGGGGGACCGAAAGGCCUCGCGCUAUUGGAGCGGCCCAUGUCCGAUUAGCUAGUUGGUGGGGUAAGAGCCCACCAAGGCGACGAUCGGUAGCUGGUCUGAGAGGACGACCAGCCACACUGGGACUGAGACACGGCCCAGACUCCUACGGGAGGCAGCAGUGGGGAAUUUUGGACAAUGGGGGCAACCCUGAUCCAGCCAUGCCGCGUGCGGGAAGAAGGCCUUCGGGUUGUAAACCGCUUUCGGCCGGAACGAAAUCGCCGGGGAGAACAUCCCCGGUGGAUGACGGUACCGGAAGAAGAAGCACCGGCUAACUACGUGCCAGCAGCCGCCGUAACAC